ensembl:snRNA U6 U6 spliceosomal RNA
GUGCUGGCUUCAGCAGCACAUGUACUAAAAUCAGAAUGAUACUGAGAAGAUUCACGUGGUCCCUGUGCGAGAUGACACACAAAUUCAUGAAGCAUUCCAUUUUAAA